AUGUCUGGGCGUGGAAAGGGAGGAAAAGGAUUGGGAAAGGGAGGAGCAAAACGACACCGUAAGGUGCUCCGUGAUAACAUCCAAGGAAUUACGAAACCUGCCAUUCGUCGUUUGGCUCGACGAGGUGGAGUGAAGCGUAUCAGUGGUUUAAUCUACGAAGAAACAAGAGGUGUUUUGAAGAUCUUUUUGGAGAAUGUGAUUCGUGAUGCUGUUACUUACACUGAGCACGCUAGGAGGAAGACGGUUACUGCCAUGGAUGUGGUUUAUGCUUUGAAGAGGCAGGGAAGGACUCUUUAUGGAUUUGGGGGUUAG